UGCCAGGGUGAACUCUCCCCUUGCUGCCACUACUCCCUGCUCAGUCCCCCACAGCCCUGGGUUCAUUCCAGGCCUGGUGCUGCAGCCGAGGCUGCUGCCAUCUGCGGCAAAGGCACCCGAUCCACUCACCGGGGCUGUAAUCAGCUGUGACCCUCAACUGCUGCCCCAGCACAUGGGGGCCAGGAUCUCCCCUGGCUCGGUGUUUGGAUUGGGACUAAACCCCUAGGUUUGCAGAAAAGCACCAAGGAGACGGGUGGGAAGCCUCGCUGCUAGGGCACCCCUGAGCCUGGGAAGAAGCCUCAUAUAUGGUCCAUAGCCAUAGCACAGUGCGCUCUGCCCCCUAUGGGCUCCGGGGAGCAGAGAAUAGGCACAGCACAGUGUGCCCCAGCCAUGCCCCCGAUCCUCCGCCAUGGGUCCUGGAGAGCAGAGAAUAGGCACAGUGCCUGAUGCUCUAGCCUGGUCCCCAAUCUGCCCUGAUUGGCCCCAGGGUGCUGAGAAUAGCCACAGCGCAGGGUACUACGGCCAUGCCCCGAACCACCCCCUUCAACAGGCGGCCGGCAUGGUGGGUGUAGGGCCCUUACAACAGCUCCAGGCUGGCUGGGGAGGCCCCUGCACAGGAUGGGGGGAUUGUCAGAGACCAUUACGCUGCCACAGUGGCCCAGCAGGGCCUCGGUGUAGCUGUGAAUCUGACCUUUGACUGUUUAAUACUCAGGACACCGGUCACCUGGGUCCUGGGACUCCCGUUGCGCAGGUCAUUACAGCUCCCGGAUUCGCGGCUGCCCCGUGUCUCAACCGUCCGGCCAGGUCAUGCUGUGAUCCCCAUUCUGGGGGAGCCUUUCAAAGUCAGACCCCUCUCUCCUAUGCCUGCUAGUGAAACCCUUCCUCUGGAGCUCCUAGCCCCCCUUGCCUCAGGGCCCCACCAUCGGGCCCAGCCCUCGGGCUGUAGAGAAUCCCCACCUGUCCCCUCCCAGGCAAGCUUCCUUCUAGCUAGUGCCCUGCACGCAGCCUAAGUCACUUUCCCUUUGCAGCUUAACUGACAGAUAUGGCCCCCCCUUAACCCCAUUCUGUCAGGGCUAAUGCAGGGAGGGGCUCGCAGGGUCAUGGUCUGGAUAAUAUUUGGUCCCCAGUCUGGGAUGGGGUGGGAGGCAUUGUGCUGCAGGGAUUGGGGCCCUGCAAAUAGCAGGGAAGAAAGGAGAAUAAAAUGAGGGGGAGGGUAGAUGGAGCAGACAGACUGACUGACAGACCACGUCCCCUGCAAUGGGUUGGGGGUGUCUCCAUGGUCAUUCGCCCCCAGUGCGCCCCCUGCCCUGCUAUGUGUGACCCCCUCCCACCCUGCUGUCCCUUCUUAGACAUUGAUGAAUGCUGCAAGAUCUCAGAUAUCUGCAGUCCCAAGGUCAUGUGUAUCAACACCAAUGGGAGCUACUGGUGUAAGUGCCGGGCUGGCUACGUCCCCUCCAACAGGAACACAACCCUGUGCCAAGGUGGGUCCUGCCACGAAGGGCAUGGAGGAGCAUCUGAGGGGGCUGAGCAGAGUCUGAAGCUACAUAGGCAGAGGUCUUGCCCGAGAGGGCAGGGAGCUGAGAACAGGUCUGGCAUGUCUCACCAGGCCCCCUGCUCCCCAUGGACGGGGUCCCUCUGAGUCUCAACCCUAGCUGGGGAGGGCUCAUCCUCAAAGCCCUCACCUCUCUCCAGCCCAGCCUGUCCGUCCACUGGGGUGUUUCCAGUUGUCUCAGAGCCACAGCCACCAGCGUGCUCAUGUCUGGCUUGGAGAGCGGAGGGAUUCUCCCCUCCCUCCAUACAGGAAGGCGAUUCUGGAAGCAGAAUGACUGUACCCAAUUGGGCGAGGAAUGUGGGUGAGGCUAACACCAAUUAAGAUGCCUGUACACCAAGGCAAGGAGGCUGGGUAACAAAAUGGAGGAACUAGAGCUACUGCUGCAGGAAGUGAAACCAGAUACUGUAGGGAUAACAGAAACCUGGUGGAACAGACAUGGCUGGAGUCCAGGGAUUGAAGGGUAUGUGCUGUUCAGGAAAGACAGGAACAAAGGCAAAGAAGAAAACCCUUGAGUCAUCAGUUUACCCAUAAACAAAGCUAGUGUUCUCCCUUGAACCAUUGUAUUUUCUCUACAACUCCCUCCCCUACCUAUGCCCAAGUAAGGGUUCUGAUGUAUAGACCCAAACUCUGCAUCAGUUCCACUGGGAUUCCAUCUCCUGACUGAUUGGGCUGGGGGCUCUGCCUGUCUCCAGCACUCAGGACCCUGAGCUACCGCCAUCACUUGGGAACUCCGACCAGUUCAAACCUUAUGGAGUGGGUGAGGUCCAUCCCUCUCUCUCUGUUUUCUUUUCUACCUCAGGUAUUAACCUUUAAAAUGUAACUGUUAUGUUUGUUUAGCCCUCCUGAUGUAGUUAUCACUAAGAUUCAAUAAAUAACCUCUAUGGUUCAGCUGGUAGCUUCUCUCUCUCUAAAUUUUAAUCUUUUGUGUUUUAGCUUCCCCCAUUUACUCUGCAGCGAUGCUUCUUGUAUCUAAGCUAAAGAUCCCUGUAGUGCCCCAAAAAUACUGUGAGGUUUGCUCAUCAAGUGGGUUACUACCAGUUCAAUUGUAAUGUGAAAAUGGGAUAGAGAUGUGUUAAACUUGGGGAACAUGGGGGUGGGGGGAGAGAGCUGAAAGUGCUGCUCAGCCAAGCUGAGUGAAUAGAGGAACGCAUGAGGGGAUCAGCUGGAGAGUCGUGAUUGACCUGGUCCUCUCAGACUUGCUCUGCUAGCGUGUGUGUGCACAUGUUCAUCUAGUUCUAGGGCUGGAGGAACCGAGCCCUGGGGAUCCUAGGUCCUGCAGGGUAGCUCCAUUGGGAGGGGACUUGCAGAAGGAAGGAGCAGAGCUCCAUAUGAACACACAAGCGACUUUCACAGCACGUUGAUAGAAUUACAGAACCCCUCCCCCAGAAGAGUAACCCUGAUAAAUGAGCCAACCGCCAAAGUGACGGGCACAUCUGGGAACAGCAUACAAAAAGCCCUUUUCCUUCCUCAGGAAAGCUGGAUCCCAGGCAUGUUGGUUAAUGCUGCUGGGAGAUUGCUUUAGGUGAAAAACUGCUGUAAUAAUUGAUUUUAGACGCUAAGAAGCAUAUUAUGAUUUUCAUUUUAUAUGUAACCAGUUCUGUUUCCAUGAUCUUGACUCGGUACCUCUUAAAUCUUAAUCUUUGAUAAUAAAUUUAGGAUUAUUCCACUAUA